AUGGCGCUCUCCGAUCUCUCCCGCGACUCGCUCCUCCCCAGCUUCCUCUACUCCCCGCGCUCCUUCGCCGCCGCCGCCUCCCCGCGCUUCCCCUCCUCCCCGUCGCCCUACCAGGCGCCCGCCGCGGCCCCGGCUGCUCGUCUCGUCGGCGCUGGCGGGGUCGGGGGCGGCAGGCCCUUCUCGAUCCGCGCGCCCAACGAGAAGAUAGAGAUGUACUCUCCCGCCUUCUACGCCGCCUGCACCGCCGGGGGGAUCGCCAGCUGCGGGCUCACCCACAUGGCCGUCACCCCGCUCGACCUCGUCAAGUGCAACAUGCAGAUUGACCCCGCGAAAUACAAGAGCAUCACAUCUGGAUUUGGUGUUCUGUUAAAGGAGCAAGGAGCUAGGGGAUUCUUCAGGGGAUGGGUGCCUACCUUGCUUGGUUACAGUGCUCAGGGGGCUUGCAAGUUUGGGUUCUAUGAGUUCUUUAAGAAGACCUACUCAGAUAUGGCUGGGCCUGAGAAUGCCGUGAAGUACAAGACCCUGAUCUACCUUGCAGGGUCAGCUUCUGCUGAGGUAAUUGCUGAUAUUGCUCUGUGCCCCUUUGAAGCUGUCAAGGUCCGUGUGCAGACACAGCCUGGAUUUGCUCGUGGGUUGAGUGAUGGGCUUCCCAAGUUCAUCAAAGCUGAGGGAGCUGCUGGGCUCUACAAGGGCAUUGUUCCUCUCUGGGGUCGCCAGAUUCCUUACACCAUGAUGAAGUUUGCUUCCUUUGAGACCAUUGUUGAGCUUAUCUACAAACAUGCUGUUCCCGUUCCCAAGGCCGAGUGCAGCAAGUCUUCCCAGUUGGGUAUCAGCUUUGCUGGUGGCUACAUUGCCGGUGUCUUCUGUGCUAUUGUUUCUCACCCGGCUGACAACCUGGUCUCUUUCCUCAACAAUGCCAAGGGUGCUACAGUGGGUGAUGCUGUUAAGAAGAUUGGCAUGCUGGGCCUUUUCACCAGAGGACUUCCCCUUCGCAUCGUCAUGAUCGGUACUCUUACCGGUGCUCAGUGGGGAAUCUAUGACGCCUUCAAGGUCAUGGUCGGACUCCCGACCACCGGCGGUGCUCCACCAGUUGCUCCGGUAGAGGAAGCAGCGAAAGCCAUCGCUUGA
rnacentral:rRNA from 1 species